rnacentral:rRNA from 1 species
GCGACACCGCGUGUGGGANGACGGUUCUAGGAUUGUAAACCACUUUNNUGAGGGAAGAAAAUGACGGUACCUCCAUAAGAAGACCCNGNCAACUAUGUGCCAGCAGCCGCGGUAAUACAUAGGGGUCAAGCGUUGUCCGGAUUUAUUGGGCGUAAAGAGCUCGUAGGCGGUUCAACAAGUCGGUCGUAAAAGUUUAGGGCUCAACCCUAAAACGUCGAUCGAUACUGUUGUGACUAGGAUACGGUAGAGGUGAAUGGAAUUCCGAGUGUAGCGGUGAAAUGCGUAGAUAUUCGGAGGAACACCAAUUGCGAAGGCAGUUCACUGGACCGUGAUCGACGCUGAGGAGCGAAAGCUAGGGGAGCAAACAGGAUUAGAUACCCUGGUAGUCCUAGCUGUAAACGAUGGAUACUAGAUGUAGGAACUGGAUUGACGGUUUCUGUAUCGUAGCUAACGCGUUAAGUAUCCCGCCUGGGGAGUACGGUCGCAAGACUAAAACUCAAAGGAAUUGACGGGACCCCGCACAAGCGGCGGAGCAUGCGGCUUAAUUCGAUGAUACCCGUAGAACCUUACCUGGNNNUGACAUAUAGGGAAAAACUAGAGAAAUCUAGUGUGCGUANNNGCCCUAUACAGGUGGUGCAUGGCUGUCGUCAGCUCGUGUCGUGAGAUGUUG